AGUGACUUUAGGAACUUAUAUGCAGUUAGUGCCUCUUCACAUACUGCUCAGAAAGCAUGUUCUCCAGUGAUUUCAGAGGGAGGACAAGAGGGACUCCAAAGGAGAAUUUAUGGGAUGUUUGUGAAAUUUGUGGCGAUAGAGCAUCUCUAAGUCUCAGUUUCCUCUCUGGUGAAAGAAAGAUGGUAAUUCCUUCCUCACGGGAUGGUUGGAACUACUAAAUGGGAUGAUGCAGUUAGACAAUUGUUAAAUUUAUCCCUAGGUAUUUAAUAUGUUUAUAGUAUUGUAAAUGUUACCUGUUUUUAUUUGUGGCUAUAAAUAAAUUCAUUUUUAAAUUAUUAAAAAAAAAAAAAAAAAAAAACAAAAACUGUGGCCCUAUUCCCAUCUAUGCUAAACAAGUCCUACUAGGAAGC
rnacentral:lncRNA from 1 species